rnacentral:lncRNA from 1 species
UCAAUAGAAAUGCCAAAAUAAGGAAUAAAAAAAUGAUAGAAAUUCUUACCAAAAGAAUUAGACAUUCUUUGACCCUUGUUACUCAUAUCAGCACCCUAAUAUCAUCUUUUUGGAAACCAAUCGAUGAAAGAACAUGAAACCAUUCUGAUUCAAUAGAGGUACGAGAUACGGUUGGGGGCAAUGAAGUAGGUGAAGUGGUUGGAUUUUGUGAGCUGUUCCAACCACUGUUGGAUGUGAUUCCAAGAGACAAACGAGAAUGAAUACCACAUAGAAGAGUAAAGACCAGGCACCCUAAUAGAAUGUUUAACAGAUCCAUUCUAGAUCGACCGAAUU